GAUGAACGCUGGCGGCGUGCCUAAUACAUGCAAGUCGAGCGAACAGACGAGGAGCUUGCUCCUUUGACGUUAGCGGCGGACGGGUGAGUAACACGUAGGUAACCUACCUAUAAGACUGGGAUAACUUCGGGAAACCGGAGCUAAUACCGGAUAAUAUUUCGAACCGCAUGGUUCGAUAGUGAAAGAUGGCUUUGCUAUCACUUAUAGAUGGACCUGCGCCGUAUUAGCUAGUUGGUAAGGUAACGGCUUACCAAGGCAACGAUACGUAGCCGACCUGAGAGGGUGAUCGGCCACACUGGAACUGAGACACGGUCCAGACUCCUACGGGAGGCAGCAGUAGGGAAUCUUCCGCAAUGGGCGAAAGCCUGACGGAGCAACGCCGCGUGAGUGAUGAAGGUCUUCGAAUCGUAAAACUCUGUUAUUAGGGAAGAACAAACGUGUAAGUAACUGUGCACGUCUUGACGGUACCUAAUCAGAAAGCCACGGCUAACUACGUG
rnacentral:rRNA from 1 species